CAUACUCAAGAAACCCUGUGAAGCAGCCUUGAAAAGAGAUUUUUCUGGCCAAGAGAAUGAGUAGCCACUGUGCCUUGCCCUGCGCCAUCAAUGAGAAGAUCUGUCUUAGUAGAGCCCUGCUUUCCCGCUGAAGGCCCUGAAAUUACCUGUGUUCCAGGCCACCCACUAAGGAUAAACAAAGCUUCCCUGAUAUGGGGAAUUAGCCCAAGUGGUAGAGCGCUUGCUUAGCAUGCAAGAGGUAGUGGGAUCGAUGCCCACAUUCUCCAAGCUUUAUUAUUUAGGUACCCAAACCCGAGUCAGUGUCUGAGAGCAAGACACUGCUCUCAGUGUCUUUGGUUCAAGACAUAGGAGCAGCAACAAUACAGGACUGGUGACAGCUUCCUGCUGGCAUUCAGUAUAGUGUAGAUCUACUGUGUAAUUCAUUUGCUGUUUCUUCAAGGAGCUGUGAAACCAAGGGACAUAUAAAACUGCUCUUUUCUCCCUGAUUCUGCC
rnacentral:tRNA from 1 species